CUUAACUAUAACUUGGUAUUGUGUAGUGAAUCAUGUUGCGUAGGAUAGGUGGGAGACUAUGAGGGAGGGGUUUCGGCCCCUUCGGAGUCGUUGGUGAAAUACCACCCUUUAUGAUUUACUGCACUCACCCGAUAAAUUCGGGGACAGUGCUUGGUGGGUAGUUUAACUGGGGCGGUUGCCUCCUAAAAGAUAACGGAGGCGCGCAAUGGUUGGCUUAGUCCGGAUGGAAACCGGACGUGACGUGUAUUCGCACAAGCCAGCCUGACUGAGAGACCUACAAGUCGAUCAGAGUCGAAAGACGGUGAAAAUGAACCGGCACUCACGAAUGGAAGUGGUGUCGAUCAACGGAUAAAAGUUA
rnacentral:rRNA from 1 species